UAAGUUAUUAAGGGCGCACGGCGAAUGCCUUGGCACUAGGAGCCGAAGAAGGACGGCACUAACACCGAUAUGCUUCGGGGAGCUGUAAGUGAGCUUUGAUCCGGAGAUUUCCGAAUGGGGGAACCCACUACGUUUAAUCGCGUAGUAUCUUGACGUGAAUACAUAGCGUCUUGAAGGCAGACCCAGGGAACUGAAACAUCUAAGUACCUGGAGGAAGAGAAAGAAAAAUCGAUUCCCUGAGUAGCGGCGAGCGAAACGGGAAGAGCCCAAACCAAGAGGCUUGCCUCUUGGGGUUGUAGGACACUCAAUACGGAGUUACAAAAGAGCGAGUUAGAUGAAGCGACUUGGAAAGGUCCGCCAGAGCAGGUAAAAGCCCUGUAGUCGAAAGUUCGUUCCCUCCUGAGUGGAUCCUGAGUACGGCGGAACACGUGAAAUUCCGUCGGAAUCCGGGAGGACCAUCUCCCAAGGCUAAAUACUACCUAGUGACCGAUAGUGAACCAGUACCGUGAGGGAAAGGUGAAAAGCACCCCGGAAGGGGAGUGAAAGAGAUCCUGAAACCGUGUGCCUACAAGUAGUUAGAGCCCGUUAAUGGGUGAUAGCGUGCCUUUUGUAGAAUGAACCGGCGAGUUACGAUUACGUGCGAGGUUAAGCUUUAGAAGGCGGAGCCGCAGCGAAAGCGAGUCUGAAUAGGGCGAAAUAGUACGUGGUCGUAGACCCGAAACCAGGUGAUCUACCCAUGUCCAGGGUGAAGGUAAGGUAACACUUACUGGAGGCCCGAACCCACGCACGUUGAAAAGUGCGGGGAUGAGGUGUGGGUAGCGGAGAAAUUCCAAUCGAACUUGGAGAUAGCUGGUUCUCUCCGAAAUAGCUUUAGGGCUAGCCUCGUGAUGAGAAUACUGGAGGUAGAGCACUGUUUGGACUAGGGGGCCAUCCCGGUUUACCGAAUUCAGACAAACUCCGAAUGCCAGAUAUUUAUACACGGGAGUCAGACUGCGAGUGAUAAGAUCCGUAGUCAAAAGGGAAACAGCCCAGACCACCAGCUAAGGUCCCAAAGUAAUCGUUAAGUGGAAAAGGAUGUGGCGUUGCACAGACAACCAGGAUGUUGGCUUAGAAGCAGCCAUCAUUUAAAGAGUGCGUAAUAGCUCACUGGUCGAGUGACGCUGCGCCGAAAAUGUAUCGGGGCUAAACGAUUCACCGAAGCUGUGGAUUGACAUCUACGAUGUCAGUGGUAGGAGAGCGUUCUAAGUGCGUUGAAGUCAGACCGGAAGGACUGGUGGAGCGCUUAGAAGUGAGAAUGCCGGUAUGAGUAGCGAAAGACG
rnacentral:rRNA from 2 species